rnacentral:rRNA from 1 species
UACGUAGGGUGCGAGCGUUAAUCGGAAUCACUGGGCGUAAAGGGCGCGUAGGUGGUUUGAUAAGGGUGUGGUGAAAGUCCGGGGCUCAACCCCGGAUCUGCCGUGCCGACUGUCAAACUCGAGGACUGUAGAGGCAGACGGAAUUCCGGGUGUAGCGGUGGAAUGCGUAGAGAUCCGGAAGAACACCGGUGGCGAAGGCGGUCUGCUGGGCAGUUGCUGACACUGAGGCGCGACAGCGUGGGGAGCAAACAGGG